rnacentral:rRNA from 1 species
GAUGAACGCUGGCGGCGUGCUUAACACAUGCAAGUCGAACGAGAAAUGUAGACGGACACCUUCGGGCGGAAGCCUUCAUUUCGAGUGGCGGACGGGUGAGUAACGCGUGGGUAACCUGCCUCAUACAGGGGGAUAACAGUUGGAAACGACUGUUAAUACCGCAUAAGACCACAGCAUCGCAUGAUGCGGGGGUAAAAACUCCGGUGGUAUGAGAUGGACCCGCGUUCGAUUAGCCAGUUGGCGGGGUAACGGCCCACCAAAGCGACGAUCGAUAGCCGAUCUGAGAGGAUGACCGGCCACAGUGGGACUGAGACACGGCCCAAACUCCUACGGGAGGCAGCAGUGGGGAAUAUUGCACAAUGGGGGAAACCCUGAUGCAGCGACGCCGCGUGAGUGAAGAAGUUCUUCGGUAUGUAAAGCUCUAUCAGCAGGGAAGAAAAUGACGGUACCUGAGUAAGAAGCCCCGGCUAACUACGUG